UACGGAAGGUGCAAGCGUUGUUCGGAAUCACUGGGCGUAAAGCGCGCGUAGGCGGGUCUGUGUGUCGAUUGUGAAAGCCCAGGGCUUAACCUUGGAAUUGCAGUCGAAACUGCAGAUCUUGAAUGCCUGAAAGGGUGGGGGAAUUCCUGGUGGAGUAGUGAAAUACGUAGAGAUCAGGAGGAACGCCGGAGGCGAAGGCGCCUGCCUGGCAGUGCAUUGACGCUGAGGCGCGAAAGCGUGGGGAGCAAACAGG
rnacentral:misc_RNA from 1 species